rnacentral:rRNA from 1 species
AGAGUUUGAUCCUGGCUCAGAUUGAACGCUGGCGGCAGGCUUAACACAUGCAAGUCGAGCGGAGAGAGGUAGCUUGCUACUGAUCUUAGCGGCGGACGGGUGAGUAAUGUUUAGGAAUCUGCCUAUUAGUGGGGGACAACAUCUCGAAAGGGAUGCUAAUACCGCAUACGUCCUACGGGAGAAAGCAGGGGAUCUUCGGACCUUGCGCUAAUAGAUGAGCCUAAGUCGGAUUAGCUAGUUGGUGGGGUAAAGGCCUACCAAGGCGACGAUCUGUAGCGGGUCUGAGAGGAUGAUCCGCCACACUGGGACUGAGACGCGGCCCAGACUCCUACGGGAGGCAGCAGUGGGGAAUAUUGGACAAUGGGGGGAACCCUGAUCCAGCCAUGCCGCGUGUGUGAAGAAGGCCUUAUGGUUGUAAAGCACUUUAAGCGAGGAGGAGGCUACUUUAGUUAAUACCUAGAGAUAGUGGACGUUACUCGCAGAAUAAGCACCGGCUAACUCUGCGCCAGCAGCCGCGGUAAUACAGAGGGUGCAAGCGUUAAUCGGAUUUACUGGGCGUAAAGCGCGCGUAGGCGGCUAAUUAAGUCAAAUGUGAAAUCCCCGAGCUUAACUUGGGAAUUGCAUUCGAUACUGGUUAGCUAGAGUGUGGGAGAGGAUGGUAGAAUUCCAGGUGUAGCGGUGAAAUGCGUAGAGAUCUGGAGGAAUACCGAUGGCGAAGGCAGCCAUCUGGCCUAACACUGACGCUGAGGUGCGAAAGCAUGGGGAGCAAACAGGAUUAGAUACCCUGGUAGUCCAUGCCGUAAACGACGUCUACUAGCCGUUGGGGCCUUUGAGGCUUUAGUGGCGCAGCUAACGCGAUAAGUAGACCGCCUGGGGAGUACGGUCGCAAGACUAAAACUCAAAUGAAUUGACGGGGGCCCGCACAAGCGGUGGAGCAUGUGGUUUAAUUCGAUGCAACGCGAAGAACCUUACCUGGCCUUGACAUAGUAAGAACUUUCCAGAGAUGGAUUGGUGCCUUCGGGAACUUACAUACAGGUGCUGCAUGGUUGUCGUCAGCUCGUGUCGUGAGAUGUUGGGUUAAGUCCCGCAACAAGCGCAACCCUUCUCCUUAUUUGCCAGCGAGUAAUGUCGGGAACUUUAAGGAUACUGCCAGUGACAAACUGGAGGAAGGCGGGGACGACGUCAAGUCAUCAUGGCCCUUACGGCCAGGGCUACACACGUGCUACAAUGGUCGGUACAAAGGGUUGCUACACAGCGAUGUGAUGCUAAUCUCAAAAAGCCGAUCGCAGUCCGGAUUGGAGUCUGCAACUCGACUCCAUGAAGUCGGAAUCGCUAGUAAUCGCGGAUCAGAAUGCCGCGGUGAAUACGUUCCCGGGCCUUGUACACACCGCCCGUCACACCAUGGGAGUUUGUUGCACCAGAAGUAGCUAGCCUAACUGCAAAGAGGGCGGUUACCACGGUGUGGCCGAUGACUGGGGUGAAGUCGUAACAAGGUAACC